rnacentral:piRNA from 1 species
UAAAAGUCAAGGAUGUUUGGAAUACAGGAG